CUUCCUUUUAGCUAUCUCAAGACUCUUAUUCCUCUACUUCUUUCCUCCCUUUUUUCUCAGCUAUUUCUCUGUUCUUCCCCACUUUGACUGACCUCUUAAUGUCGAUCAUCACAUUUGCUAGAACCUCAUACAUACCGUGAGGACAUACGGGUUGUGAAUUGACUUGGCAAUAGCAGAAUGCCAUUUCGGUGGUAGUGUAGUUUAGAUUGCAAUGCCUCACAACUACAAUAUAGCCAGUUCAUAGAAUUGGUCAGCCAAUUUAGGCAUGUUGUAUGGGAAAAAUGUUUGAUUUGGUCGGUUG